CUCUGUCACUCCUACGGGAGGCAGCAGUGGGGAAUAUUGCACAAUGGGCGCAAGCCUGAUGCAGCCAUGCCGCGUGUAUGAAGAAGGCCUUCGGGUUGUAAAGUAUUUCAGCAGUGAGGAAGGCGGAGUCGUUAAUAGCGGCCUCGUUUGACGUUAGCUGCAGAAGAAGCACCGGCUAACUCCGUGCCAGCAGCCGCGGUAAUACGGAGGGUGCGAGCGUUAAUCGGAAUUACUGGGCGUAAAGCGCAUGCAGGCGGCCUGUUAAGUCAGAUGUGAAAGCCCGGGGCUUAACCUCGGAAUUGCAUUUGAAACUGGCAGGCUAGAGUCUUGUAGAGGGGGUAGAAUUUCAGGUGUAGCGGUGAAAUGCGUAGAGAUCUGAAGGAAUACCAGUGGCGAAGGCGGCCCCCUGGACAAAGACUGACGCUCAGAUGCGAAAGCGUGGGGAGCAAACAGGAUUAGAUACCCUGGUAG
rnacentral:rRNA from 1 species